rnacentral:rRNA from 2 species
UCUUGGUCCAUUUAGAGGAAGUAAAAGUCGUAACAAGGUCUCCGUAGGUGAACCUGCGGAGGGAUCAUUACACAAAUAUGAAGGCGGGCUGGAACCUCUCGGGGUUACAGCCUUGCUGAAUUAUUCACCCUUGUCUUUUGCGUACUUCUUGUUUCCUUGGUGGGUUCGCCCACCACUAGGACAAACAUAAACCUUUUGUAAUUGCAAUCAGCGUCAGUAACAAAUUAAUAAUUACAACUUUCAACAACGGAUCUCUUGGUUCUGGCAUCGAUGAAGAACGCAGCGAAAUGCGAUAAGUAGUGUGAAUUGCAGAAUUCAGUGAAUCAUCGAAUCUUUGAACGCACAUUGCGCCCUUUGGUAUUCCAAAGGGCAUGCCUGUUCGAGCGUCAUUUGUACCCUCAAGCUUUGCUUGGUGUUGGGCGUCUUGUCUCUAGCUUUGCUGGAGACUCGCCUUAAAGUAAUUGGCAGCCGGCCUACUGGUUUCGGAGCGCAGCACAAGUCGCACUCUCUAUCAGCAAAGGUCUAGCAUCCAUUAAGCCUUUUUUUCAACUUUUGACCUCGGAUCAGGUAGGGAUACCCGCUGAACUUAAGCAUAUCAAUAAGCGGAGGAA